rnacentral:lncRNA from 1 species
UCUCUUUGCAGUGAUGGCCGACAAAAUUAAAUUUGAAGCUUAACUUUUAUUAGUAACUAAGAUACUUUAUGAUCACGUGAAGUCUACCAUACUGCCAAUGAAGAGAAGGUAUUUUGCUAGAUGUUUGUGUAAUAGAAUGCUUUAGUUCCUCCAGUAAGUGAGUUGGUGCCAUGUGGUAUGAAACAAAGUACAGCCAUUUCCUGCAUAGUUAUCUGAGUCCAGGAGUCUCACCCCCCCCCCCAGGUUCCACAUUAAUCUGGAGCAAUAUUUACUAAUGGCUUUCAGAGUCAUAUAAAAUUUUAUUGAAUACUAAUAAAUAACUUCAGAAAAUAAAUUCCUUUAGGUUAAAAAAAAAAAAAGAGCAAAGCAACUAUUUCCCAAAAUUAGUUGCCUUAAGAGGCAGAUGUUCUUUACUUUUCUAGUCAGAUUUUUCUCAUUAGGAAUUUAACGAUUCUAAGUCUUAAGGUACUUUGUUGAUAUUCUUCUGUUGUCUUGGUGUGUAAUUUUGUAUUUUAUUUUGAACUUUGUUCAGAGUCAUACUGAAAAUCCUCACUGUGGUAUAAUUAUCAAAGGGGAAUUUUGAAAGCAAAUGUAUCCAAAGCAGGUUUAAGUACUGAUGGAUACAAAAUAUCUCUGAUUCUUUUCUUCUAUAAACCUCAGACUCCCCGGCAGGCACAUGCUAGCUCAGGUUCCAUGCCUGUGGUGAAGACUCUUUUCUGCGCAUCCAGCUUAACCUAGUUCAUUCAACUGCCACAGGUCUGAGCAUCUCCUAGCCACAACUGCCUGCAGAGAGAGCUGCCCCAUUGAGUCCAGUAAACUCAAGUUAUGAGACAACAGUAAAUUGUUAUUUUUAGCUAAAUUUAAGACAAUCUGUUAGGCAGUGGAUAUUGCAACCAACAAGCAAAUGUACAAGUACAUGAAUGAACAAAUAAAUGAAUGAUCAAAGUUUUGAGCAAAUCUCUGAAGGUCACGAGGGAGCAAGUCAUUCAAUUUAGGUGGUUUAUAUCAAGAAAGUAUGUAUUGCAAGGAUAGGUGAGAACUUCGACUGAAUCUCCAGACACCAUGUAAGUAAGCAAUCUGGGAUCUAGAAAAAACUUACAUGCGCUUGGAAAUCAGACCAGACUUAAUAUGCCUCAAACAUUUUCCUCCUAAAACUUUUGUUUUGUUGUUAUUUUUCCACAUUUGAAACAUGCCUCCCCCUGGCUGUUCCUUUACCCUGUGGGAUUAUUUAUCACAGCUAGAAGUGUAUGGUUCUAAUCAUUAAUGAAGCAAUUAGCUUUCUGCCUUGAGGAAACAAGCUAAUUAAUCAAAACAUUCUUUUUGCUAAGUCAUGUUGACCAGUACAGAAUAUUCUGUAAUUUGCAAUAUAAUUCUAACAAACUAUCUGUAUCUUAAAUAGUAAUAGGUAAGUUUAAGAUAAAAAUGCAAUGUUUUCUGAAAAGAUUCACAGUAAAUAGCCUUUCAAAUACAUUUCAAAUCUACUCUCAAUAAUCAUUUAGCUGUAACAUGGUUCAUAAGAAGCCAAUAGAUGAAAGUCAAUGCAGUGGUGGUCUUGACCAUGUUUCUAUGUCAGAGGUGUUCACUGAAAAUUCAGUGGUGUGGUAAGUUGUCCGAUGAACAUUCUAAUCAGCUACUUGUCAUAAUUUCUCAUUGUGAUACUUAUUUAAGCACUAUGUUAUUUAUGUCCCCUAGUUUACAGAUAGGUCUUAAAACAUCAUGGUUCUGUACAUCAGAAUCUGCUAAAAGACGAUGAAAGGGUUGGGUUCUCAAUCAUGGGAAUCUGGGGUCUUUAGUUGGGAUCUAACUGGUGAGAUUGUUAAUUGACUAUAAAGGUAAGAGGACAAAAGAAUGCCUCCCAACAUGGAAGGUUCUUUUAACUUGUUUAUUUUUCUUUUGAAUUAGAAAGUGAUUUAAGUACAGUAUUGUAGCAAUGACUAAAAUAUUUAAGGUCAUAACCUGUCCAUCAUUGGAGUACACUAUUUUGUCAAUGCCAUGAAAAACAUGGCACUGUAAAACAUCCACCAGAGAAGACUACUAACUAGUAUACAGGUACAGGUACAAACCAAGAGAAUCCUUAUUUGGCAGCCAGGGACUACUCCUGGGUUUUGGGACCCCAAUGUAGCCCUGAGCCUUUCCUUUUCAGGGUGGGCUCUUAAGCCCACCUAAAACACACAACCUGACUUGACACACUUUAGCUAUCAAGAACAGUUAGCUGAAGGCAGAACUGCAGAAGCCAAAAAGCAAAAUGAGAACCUUCUGAGACUUUCCCAGAAAUGUGGACUUUGUGGAUUUGGUCUCUGUUCUUGUUUUGGUAGGUGUUAUUGCCUACCUGCUGUGUUCAAAGAUCUAAACUGUAUUUCUGUUGUGACUUCAAUAGUGCUGAGGUUAUGAUUGUGAUGGCAAACCACAGAUUUUAUAACAAGCUGACUUCUGUACAUUAUUUAAAGAAAUAAAUGUUUAAAAUAAUGUUAAAGACAAUAUGUUUGAAUUUUUAAUUAUUUGAGUUAUAAUCUAGUAUACUGUUUGAACUAUUUUUGUUCAUAUUUCAAUUACCGUCUACUUUAUAAGGAGUCAUAUAUCCACUAAUAUUAGGGUCCUUUUUACAUUUGAAGCCUAAUGUCAGUGAUUCUGAUUUACUAAAUAAUAUUGUGAUCAUGAGAUAUACUAAAUAACAUUCAUUUUGAUGUGAUGUUUAUUGAAAUUUCUGAAACAGCAUUAAAUGUUUAAAUUUUCAGCUCAGUAACAUGUAGGAACAAGUAGCAUCCAAAUAACAAUAAUUUUAAUCAUUUCUACAUAAAAAGUAUAUAGAACUAAUAGACACUCAAGAAAACUUUCACUUACAAUUCAAAUAGUGAUUCAUUCUCCCUGACAUUAGGCCAGGUAUGCAAAAGGAAUGAGCAUAUGGAAGAAGCUUAGCCCUGUGAAUUCCUGUCAAGGAUCUCUCAGUGCCACCAAGGGAUGCAUUUCCAUCUAUAAUAUGAUAGGAGAAAAUUAGCUGGGCUCUAUUCUGUUAAAAUGCAAAGGCUAAACUGGAAACUGAAGUGGCACUUUUAAAAGAGGUGAAGGAUGUAUAUGUUUAUUAAUAUUUUAACUUGAGCCAAUAAUCUCUCAUUUCCCACUUCUGAAGAUAAUGCUAAGACCGCCAUCGAUUACUGAGAUUUGUCUAAUACACAAAUUGAUUUCUGUGGUCUUCCUUUUGAAAUUUGAAGACUCCUUGGAGCAACAUAAUUCCGCAUCAGGCCUCAGGGGCUUCUAGGUUUUAGCAUGCUGCCCCGCAGCUUUAGUGAACGGGCUUUAGACCACUGGGCAGGCAAUCAUCAAAAGGCAACUUCAUGGUCCCUGAGUAGCUGGGAGCUUAUCAUCUCAACUUUCAGGCAACUGUUUCAUAUUAACUGUUCUAUGAAAUUUCAACCUCUCUUUUACCCUUCUUAUUGACACAUCUCACACUUGGUAAUGAAGGCUGCUUCUUCCUUAAAUCCCCUAUAUUGCUAUUUAUCCAAUUUCCGUCUUUGUCUUAGUGGUUUACCUUGGUAUAGAUUUUUUUUUUUUUUGCCAUUUUGUCUUCUAUUAAAGAAAAGAAUUCUGUUAUGAUGUUUUAUUUAAUAUACCUUCACAUCUUUUAGAUAUUUUGCACAUGUUGCCUCAUUUACUCAUUCCCUGACCACCUUAUCAAAGUCUGAAAUCAAAAUUUUAAUAUUCCUGAACUGUCUUCUUUACCCAAAUUUCUUCACACUUUCAUAAACACUCAUAAAUCCUAUUUUAACAAUGUGUUCCUUAUCUAUCCUCUAGCUAUUUAAUAUUGAUUUUGUUAAUUUACAUAGCUUUAGCAACUAGCACCGUCUCUGGCAUCUCUAUGAGGAUUAAAUCAUUAUAUUCUUAGUAGACAAAUAAAAACAAAAGGGUCCAAUAAAAAUUUAUGGUAAGGUAAAAAUGUUAGUUACAUAUUAAAAAUUAGCAUGACUGCUGUGUUUUGAAGUAAAAUAAUAAAGUCAAGUAAAAAUGAAGU